ensembl:snRNA U6 U6 spliceosomal RNA
GUGCUUGCUAUGACUGCACAUAUACUAAAAUUGGAUCGAUACAGAGAAGAUUAGCAUGGCCCCUGUGCGAAGGAUGCUGGAAUAAACCAGAAGACCCAGGUUCAA